rnacentral:rRNA from 1 species
AUUGAACGCUGGCGGCAUGCCUUACACAUGCAAGUCGAACGGCAGCAUGGAGAGCUUGCUCUCUGAUGGCGAGUGGCGAACGGGUGAGUAAUGCAUCGGAACGUACCGUGUAAUGGGGGAUAACGUAGCGAAAGUUACGCUAAUACCGCAUACGACCUGAGGGUGAAAGCAGGGGAUCGCAAGACCUUGCGUUAUACGAGCGGCCGAUGUCAGGGUAGCUAGUUGGUGAGGUAAAGGCUCACCAAGGCGACGAUCUGUAGCGGGUCUGAGAGGAUGAUCCGCCACACUGGGACUGAGACACGGCCCAGACUCCUACGGGAGGCAGCAGUGGGGAAUUUUGGACAAUGGGGGCAACCCUGAUCCAGCCAUGCCGCGUGAGUGAAGAAGGCCUUCGGGUUGUAAAGCUCUUUCGGCCGGGAAGAAAUCGCACAGGCUAAUACUCUGUGUGGAUGACGGUACCGGCAUAAGAAGCACCGGCUAACUACGUGCCAGCCGCCGCAGUAA